rnacentral:lncRNA from 10 species
GGGAUUAUAGGUGUGAGCCACUGCACCCAGCUAGCUUUGUACUUCAAGAAAAAAAAAAAAAAAACCUUUCUUUUUAGGAAAACCAGACUAAUUGGUAUUCUGGGGUUUAUACAUGUAAAAACAUAUUUGCAUAUGAAAGGUAAUGUACAAAAGCUAAAAUAGUAGAGUGAUGAAAUGUAGGCAAUUGCUAUUAUUUGGAAUAUUCUAGAAUAGUGUUUAUUAAAAAUGUAAAGUACAGACAUGAGAAGCCCUAAUCGUGUGCCAUAAGUAACA